GGCCUGAUGGUCUAGUAGUAUGAUUCCUUGUUAGGGAAGGUUGUUUCUACUUCGAGGAGGUCCCGGGUUCAAUUCCCGGUUAGGCCC